UGCAAUUUUUUUCUCUUUUUUUGAAACAAGAAACGCAAAUGCUUAAAACAAGUCAACAUGAAAACAUACAAAUUAAGUUGAUUCUUAUUUUGUUCCAAAAUGAAAAAGGGAAAGUUGAAAUUUUCUUUUACCAGCACGCUUAAGAGCCCAAUCAUGUACUGCACUUUUGUUUGCAUAAUUGCAUUAUUCAAAUACCUACCCAGCAUUCGCUGCCUAGACCAACACUUGAAUUUUAAAGAGAGUGAGAGAGAUAAUUACAACCAGUAAAACAAGCUUUUGGGCUCCUGAAGUCGACAACUCAUCAGAUGGUGCAACACACCGUCAGAAAUCCACUUUGAAAAAGGAGCAAGUGGGGAACAUAGGUUUUGUUUCAGCAAAUAGGCCAUCAUUCAACACCACCCACCCCAUCUGGCUUUUGUUUCUAAAACACACCACUCCUCCUUUAACUUUUAACCUGCCCUUUUUUAACAUGGAAAUACUCAGAAAUAAAAUUAUCAAUCAACUCGCUAACGACUAGAAAUAAAUAUAAAAGAGAAAAAGACUCUUUUCUCGAAUUUUUUCUCUCUAAUUUCAGCAUAUGGACAAAAUUAAACUGCUAUGUGUCGUAGAUUAAAAAAAGGAUAUAUUAAAAGUAAAGCGGAAGCAACCAAUCAGAGCGCUUCCAUCUGGUCUUCGUCAUCGCGAAAUGACAAAGAAACCACUAUACACGUAGCUCUCCCUCCUUUCCCUUCGCUCUCUCACGUCGCUACCACUUGACACUUCUGACAGAUCCAAACCAACAAAUGAUUCUCGCAGCUUCAGAAUCAACACCGCAUUCAGAAAUUAUGAAAAUAAAACUAACAAAAUUUUAAAAAAAAAAGAAUUCAUAAUAAUAAGCAAGAAUAACAAUAAAUAAGAGACAAAUAAAAUCUCAACCGCUAAACUAACGAAAGGUGGCCAUCAUCGUCGUCCAUAGGCAGUAAAAUAAAAAAUUAAAAAAAAAACUCAAUCCUACCAAAUGAACUCCUAAAUCGGUAGCUGAUGAUAGUCCUAAGAUCAGAUCUACAGCAACAAAGACCACACACAUGCCGCUCCAACAACGGCCAAAGCAGCACCGCCUCUGUUCAAGACAGCACCGUUUGGAGGAACCCCUGUCGGAGUAUCAGCAGAAGGAGACGGAACACCGUUAGGAGGAAGUGCCACUGAGGGACCUGAGCUAGGAGUGGGAGCCGAAGGAGUAGGAGGCGAGCUUGUAGGAGUUAAGGUUGGGGCUGCCGCUGGAACAUGAGUAAUGGUAGGUGAAGGAGCCGAGACAGUUGGAGAUUGAGUGGGAGCUUGAGUGGGAGUAGAAGUAGGAGUUGCAGAAGCCUUGGGAGACGGUGCAGCAGAAGGUGGCCUAGUCGGUGAAGCGGUAGGCGCGGCUCCAGGGGCCUGAGCAAGAGCGGAACAGGCCAAGAGAGCGAAAAGCAUCAAGGUGACGAAGCUCUUUCCGGCCAUUGUAGAUCAAAACUCUGCAGGCUCCAGAGAAAAGGAGCUUUUUAGUGAGUGACUG
rnacentral:misc_RNA from 1 species